CUCUGUAGCAUCAUCUCUUCCCGUUUCUCCCUCGCUCUCUCUUCAACGGAUCACCAUCAAGUUUGUGAUUGAAACAUUGUGUCUAAAGCAUUGUGGACUUCCUUAAGACCUUUCAUAUCGAAACAUUGUGAUAUUAUUCUGAAGGGGAAGAAGAAAGUUGCAGAUGGUAUGCCAAUUGCUACAGGUCAUGAGCGUGAAGAACUUGAGGCCG